UGUCAUAAAUGCAAAGUACAGAUGCAUCAAACACCAUUACUUUCCAUCUGUUACAACUAACUCAUUAACAACCAUGCCUUUCUUUUCUUCUUUUUAAAUUCAAUUCCAUUUCCCCAUAUCUGGACCAAUAGAAAAUCAUGUUUCUAACCAUUUCCGUAUGCUAUUUAUUGACCGUUGCCUAAAUGAUUUAGUGGUGCCAUAAAUUUUCUAGACUUUUGAAUCUAUAAGUCUAUGUGCUAAUGCUUCUCUUGUCCAGGUUUCACAAUUUGGAAAAAAAUGAAGAUUUUUUCAGCUAAGGUUGAAGAGGGAAGGGAAGGCCUAGAUGAGAAGCCAGCAGUUGGUCCCGUGUAUUGUAAUUUACUCUCCAAGAAUGAGUUUCCUCCACCUGAUCCCAAUAUUAGUACAGCUUGGGAUGUUUUCAGGGCCAGGUGCUAUCAAUUUUAUUCUCGAUCAUGCAGAGGUUGAUUUUGUUUUUGUCCAGGAUAAAAAAGUGAAAGAAGUAAGAACUUUAAAAAAAUUUGCUUUGUGAUAAAAUGAUAUGCUUAAUCACAUAAGCUCACAUUUCAAAAGCAAUGGAUGUUUUGAUUGGACAAAUGUUCUUGUGUUUGCAUCUACUAAAUCCUGAUUGUAAAUCUGCUCAACAACUGAAAAGUAAGAAUGAUUAAAUAACUGCAGUCUGCUCCAUGUUAAGGCUUUCUACUGAGUUUGGUUGUGGUUGCAGUUAUGGUGUGCUUCACUUCCUUAACAGAGGAAGAGAAGAAUAAGGCAACUGAAAUUAGGAUAAAACCAUAUUCAUGGAAUGAGUUCUUUCAUAUGGUCAGUUUCCCAUUGUCUUGAUUGAAUAUUUUGUUCAAUAAACUAAUCUGCGUUCAAUGUAAAUAAACAUAGAACAUGUGUUUUCUUUCUCUUCAGUAGUAACUUUUCCUUAAAGAGAAAAGAGUACUUGUACAUCUUCUACUAGAUUAGAACUAGUAUUUGCGAUUCAUUGUGCUCUGCUCUAUAUGUUUUGACGCUAUUUUCUAUCUUCCUGGAAUUUGUCUUAGUAUAUCUCUAGUUGAAGAUGUUAAAUAAAUCUAUGCUAUGGAUCUCUCUGACAGCAAUGUGAGCAUUGUGUGUUUGGGCCCAUCUUAUAUGCAAAUGUAAGUGGAAUUCAUGCUAUGUGUUGUCAUGUCCCAUAUAUCCAUUUUGCAUAAAAAGUGGAUUCAUUUUCCCCCCAAAAAUUUGUAAGAUAUAUGGGUUACUUCUCACCAAAGCUUAGGUUAACUAACUUUAAAAUGUCUCAUUCUCACUGACAACAUAUUACUGUCAAUUUGCAUGCUUUCUUCUGUUUUGGUUGAUCUUAAGAUUUUAUUGUUCAUCAGGGAAAAGAAACCCCGUCAGAUUUGUCCACCUCAGUCUUUCCACAUUUGCACAAUUAUGUACACAAGUGGCACGAGUGGAGAUCCUAAAGGUGUUGUGUUAACACAUGAGAACAUUGCCUCUUUUAUAAGACGGAUGGAUCUAUUUAUGGCACAAUUUGAAGACAAGAUGAAUGAAGAUGAUGUGUAUCUUUCUUUCUUGCCCCUGGCUCAUAUCCUUGAUCUCAUGGUUGAAGAGUAUAAUGGUGCUUCUGUUGGCUACUAUCAUGGGUUAUGCUGCUGAAACUACUUCAUCACUUGUUUGAAGUUUGGGCCUCAUUUUUUUAUUUCUUUCAUCUGUAUGGUAUACAUGAGAAAAUAAAGA